AUAAUGAAAGUGUCACAAAGACUCUUAAUGAGCCAAGCCAGACAUUUGACGUUAAUCUUAUUACCUCAAUACAAAGUACUCAAUCAUGCAAGUAUACAAUAGUUGGUAGAGUUGAUCCUGAUGAAGGAAUAGAAGACAACACUCAGAGAGUUGAAGCAGA